GCAGUACUGACGAGUCCCACACUAGGACGAAACGAUCGUCCAGUGC
rfam:Schistosoma curassoni strain Dakar, Senegal genome assembly, scaffold: SCTD_contig0002858